AGCGAACGCUGGCGGCAGGCCUAACACAUGCAAGUCGAACGAAGUCUUCGGACUUAGUGGCGGACGGGUGAGUAACACGUGGGAACGUACCUUUUGGUUCGGAACAACUCAGGGAAACUUGAGCUAAUACCGGAUGAGCCCUUAGGGGGAAAGAUUUAUCGCCGAAAGAGCGGCCCGCGUUAGAUUAGCUAGUUGGUGAGGUAAAGGCUCACCAAGGCUACGAUCUAUAGCUGGUCUGAGAGGAUGAUCAGCCACACUGGGACUGAGACACGGCCCAGACUCCCACGGGAGGCAGCAGUGGGGAAUCUUGCGCAAUGGGCGAUAGCCUGACGCAGCCAUGCCGCGUGAAUGAUGAAGGUCUUAGGAUUGUAAAAUUCUUUUACCAGGGACGAUAAUGACGGUACCUGGAGAAAAAGCCCCGGCUAACUUCGUGCCAGCAGCCGCAGUAACAC
rnacentral:rRNA from 1 species